GCAACAGCUCAAAUUUGAAAUCUGGCCCACGCCCGAGUUGUAAUUUGUAGAGGAUGUUUCGGGUGAAGCCGCGGUCCAAGUCCCUUGGAACAGGACGUCAUAGAGGGUGAGAACCCCGUACCUGGCCGCCGGCGCUCCCCGCUGUGAAACUCCUUCGACGAGUCGAGUUGUUUGGGAAUGCAGCUCUAAAUUGGUGGUAAAUUCCAUCUAAAGCUAAAUACCGGCCAGAGACCGAUAGCGCACAAGUAGAGUGAUCGAAAGAUGAAAAGCACUUUGAAAAGAGAGUUAAAAAGUACGUGAAAUUGUUGAAAGGGAAGCGCUUGCGGCCAGACUUGCCCGCGGUUGCUCAGCCCGCCUUCUGGCGGGUGCACUCUUCCGCGGUCAGGCCAGCAUCGGUUUGGGCGGCCGGAUAAAGGCGUUGGGAACGUGGCCUCCCUUCGGGGAGGUGUUACAGCCCGGCGUGCAAUGCGGCCAGCCCGGACCGAGGUUCGCGCUUUGCUAGGAUGCUGGCGUAAUGGCCGUAAGCGGCCCGUCUUGAAACACGGACCAAGGAGUCUAACAUCUAUGCGAGUGUUUGGGUGUCAAACCCGUACGCGUAAUGAAAGUGAACGGAGGUGGGAACCGCAAGGUGCACCAUCGACCGAUCCUGAUGUCUUCGGAAGGAUUUGAGUAAGAGCAUAGCUGUUGGGACCCGAAAGAUGGUGAACUAUGCGUGAAUAGGGUGAAGCCAGAGGAAACUCUGGUGGAGGCUCGCAGCGGUUCUGACGUGCAAAUCGAUCGUCAA
rnacentral:rRNA from 1 species